CUGUAAGAAUAAUGGCUCCUUAAAACGGAGUGAGUCAAAGAGUAAGACACUUUAGAGGAAAUGGUUAAUAUUAAUGAGAGAGUGCAGUGUAGUCUGACAAUAGACCAGCAUCAGCACUUCGGGAGGAAUGCUUCUAGCUUAAAGUGAUGCUUUGAUUCUCUUCAGCAAAGCCUGGGCCGAGAAAAAAUAAAAAGUCCCUGUAGCAAUUCGGUGGGUCUAAGCACAUGCAUUGGGAAGAGAGUCAAAAAGGAAGAUUUUCACAACGAAUUAUCAUUCAAGUCCUCUCAGACCCGUAGUUUCGUAUAUGGCUACAGGAGGUGGCCCUAGAUUUCUUAUAAACCCUUCCAAAAGGGACUUCCAGUCUAGUUGGAGACAAAGGAAAAUAAAACUCAAAGAAAACAACAGCUCAUUGUAAGCGACAGAACAGAAUUAAGUUCUAAACUGCACGGCGCAGACUCAGCAUUACAGGAGUUGUCAGAGAAUCUCUGUGAGGAUGUGAAACACGCCACACAAAUUAAAAAGUGGAAGUGCAUCAGUGGUGGCGUAGGUGAAUUUUGAGAUGGAGCUUGAAAUGUAUUUCUUCUGAAAACUUGCUGGUCAAUUGUUAAAACCAAGCACUGUUUGUGGGGCCUCGAGCUAGAUCACAAAUGCUCCUCCCCUCCCGUCCCCUACCCUGGCCAAAGGCCUGUCCCCAUCCUGGUCAGGGGAAGCCUCACACACAUGAAUGGGGAGCCCCAGCGUGCAGUGCAGACUCACAGUCCACAACCGUAUCCCACAAGAGCCACUCUUGGCACCCCUGGGGCCUCCCAGUGAGCACCCCAGAAGCCUCGUCAGCCCCAGGGAGGAAGAUGAACGAGGUGCUAAGGAAGAUGCAUGUGUUGGCCCCGGAAGCAGGUGCAACCCCUCUAGGCAGGGAAUUCCUGGUCCCUGGAACCUGAGAUGUUCCAGAAGGAGGGAUCGUGUAGUAUGAGCUCCAAGUGGGCAUUCCACUGACUCCUCAGAAUCUUCUUGAAGGGAGGGAAGCACUGGUAUUGGACCAAAGCAGGGUCUCUAACAGGUAGGACACACAGCAGAGGCCCUGGGUGCCCAGGUCUCAGGAGGUAGCUUUAAA